CUGGGAUAACUCCGGGAAACCGGGGCUAAUACCGGAUGGUUGUCUGAACCGCAAGGUUCAGNCAUAAAAGGUGGCUUCNNCUACCACUUACAGAUGGACCCGCGGCGCNNUNNNUAGUUGGUGAGGUAACGGCUCACCAAGGCGACGAUGCGUNGCNNNCCUGAGAGGGUGAUCGGCCACACUGGGACUGNNNCACGGCCCAGACUCCUACGGGAGGCAGCAGUAGGGAAUCUUCCGCAAUGGACGAAAGUCUGACGGAGCAACGCCGCGUGAGUGAUGAAGGUUUUCGGAUCGUAAAGCUCUGUUGUUNGGGAAGAACAAGUGCCGUUCAAAUAGGGCGGCACCUUGACGGUACCUAACCAGANNGCCACGGCUAACUACGUGCCAG
rnacentral:rRNA from 1 species